CAAUAGCGUAUAUUAAAGUUGUUGCAGUUAAAAAGCUCGUAGUUGGAUUUGUGGUGUACGGUGUGUUCCGGGCACUUGUUGUCUGAGUAACCUGCUGUUGCCAUCCUUGGGUGGAACCUGUGUGGCAUUAGGUUGUCGUGCAGGGGAUGCCCAUCAUUUACUGUGAAAAAAUUAGAGUGUUCAAAGCAGGCUUAUGCCGUUGAAUAUAUUAGCAUGGAAUAAUGAGAUAGGACUUUUUUGCUAUUUUGUUGGUUUGCGCAAGAAGGUAAUGAUUAAUAGGGACAGUUGGGGGUAUUCGUAUUCCAUUGUCAGAGGUGAAAUUCUUGGAUUUUUGGAAGACGAACUACUGCGAAAGCAUUUACCAAGGAUGUUUUCAUUAA
rnacentral:rRNA from 1 species